CGGGUGGCCGUAGUAGCGAGAGGAACCGUACCGCUCUCUCUCGCUGUUCUCUUGAGUGACGCCCGCCUGUGAACUUUUUACUUCUCCCUCCUCACUGCUGCACGCUGCCAAGUACUGUGCGUGUGUGCGUGCAGCGGAGGGUCGGUGCUGUGUUGUGCUGUGAACUGCGUGUGCCUGCUGGGGAGUUUAGGAGGACUUUCGACACGUGAAGAAAGAAGUUUUAGGGAGUUUUUGUGAAGUGGUUUCCCGGUGCAGGUAGAAAAGUAACAAAACCUCAUAAACAGAGAAGGGAAAAUAAAAACAUUGAUAAGCUAAAUGAAAA